UGUCUUGACCUAGUUUCUCAGUUCGUUUGAUUAGUCAUUUCAUUCACCUGUUUUAAUUAACUAAUUUCCCUGGUGUAUGAAUACUUCCUGUUUGGUUCAGUUAUUUGUUGGUCAUCGUCUAUGUUAGUCGUGUUUUAGUUAUCUUCCUGAGUAUUCAAGUUUCCUACUAAAGGACUAUUUUGUGAGAUUUCCUGUUUCAUGUCUCUUUGGAUUCUAAGACCCAUGACAGAAUGACCAACCUAACAAGAAGUUUAAAGAUGGACUUAUCAGUCUUGCAGAGGCUCAUCACCUCCGGGAACAGGCUGCUGAUAGUAUACUGGUGUUGGAGGCUACAGCAGGGCGAUUCACCAUAUAACAUCAGCAAGGCAGAGAAGGAGCCCGAGCCAGAACCAGCUGCCUGGAUCUUCCCUGAGCCAAAGCAAGCUGCCCAGUCCAUCUCAAAGCCAGGAGCGGACCACUGCCUGAUAGAUCUGUGGUCCGUGGAUGUAGUACCCUCCCAAAUCCCCACCCUCAAGUCUUCGCCUUCCACGCCAUCUGGAACUCCUGUUCCAUCCGGAAAUCUUCUUCCUCUGAUGUCCCCACCUGACUUCCUGAUCCCAUCUCCUCCACUGGUUUUGUCCAGUUCCCUGGAUCCACCUUGGGCCUCCCGUCUACCAGCUUGACGUGAGGUUGAGCCCUCGGCUUCACAUCAGGCCUACAGGCCCUUGUCUCCACCUCGACCUGUCAGCCCGUCGGCUCCGCCGACCUUAGUGUCUGUUUCCAUUGGCUCCUCCAGGUCCCUGUCCAUCACCAGCUCCACGUCCACCUUCAAAGCCCCCUCCCUCCACAGUGGUAUCUUCAGUUACGGCAUAAGGAUGCGCCUUCCGGGAGGGGAAAGUACUAUCAUGUUUAUGGACUUUCAGUUUGUCUUCAUCAGUUUUCUUUGUUCUUAGUUUGUCUUGUCUUGACCUAGUUUCUCAGUUCGUUUGAUUAGUCAUUUUAUGUCUCUUUGGAUUCUAAGACCCAUGACACACACACACACACACACACACACACACACACACACACACACACACACACACACACACGUAUAUAUAUAUUUUGGCUGUCUUAAUCACUCACACGCAGAUGAGGUAUGUUCUGUCCGGUGUCAAAGGAGGGCAGUGUGGUGUCAGUAGGGUGAGAAUCAGACUGGCUACUGUGUGUUUACACACUCACAGUUUCCCAGCAAUACUUCCUCACUGCAGUCAGCCACAGGAAUGCAGAAAAUAAGUGAUUCUCCAGCGUUCACACACACUCGUCUUCAAACACACACAUGUACGAGUCUAAAUGCCACAGCAUACAUCGGAAAACACACUAGUCUUGCAAGAUGCAUACUUGAUAGGUCAAUCGUUCACAGAGAAGGCCUGGGAAUAUUUACACAGAAAUCCAGUUGUUAGUUUUAUGUUGCCAUUUGUUCCAUAACAUUGUAUCAGUUAUAAUAACUGCAUAAAUAGUGUAAGUCACUCUUUAGGUAGCUCUUUCUGUCCUGUUUCUCAAGAAAGAAUCUGGUUUUGAAGGCUUUUUGUUAAGAAAUCUUGAAAAAAAAAAAAAAAGUAUUAUGAGCUUGAGCUUGUUUUGAGCUUGUCCACUUUCAACCACUUCCAGAGGUAGUCGAAAAUGCAUUUGACCGGAUUGCUUUCGUAGAGGAAACACUCAUGUGGUUAAAUGUGUACGAACAGCCUCAAAAGAGCGCCUACUCUCCGCCUACUGACCAAACGCGUAAACAUUAUGGGAAGUGCGCGCUAGCCAGAUGGGAUUUAAACUUUGUCAGCUGGAGACCCAAGUUUGGUUUGAAGAUGAAAAACGUACCAAGCACAAUGUUCUCUCACCAUUCCUUUUUUCUUCACAGCGUUUGGCAUGGUAUUGCGGCCAUCAGAGCAGAAACGAAAACUAAUGCUUUCCUUGUGUUUUUCUGUCAUCUCCAGAUGUGUUCAUAUGUAAAUUGCGCAAGAUUAUUUUGUCCAUUAGAUCGAAAGAUCGGGGGGGAAAAAAAAUCAUACAUUUACCUUCCCAUAGACCCUCUCCUCGAAGAAAUCGGGACAGAAGUGGCUGAAAGUGAACAAAAGAGACGGAUUAAAAUACUUGGUGGAAACAGGUAUGUGUCUCCCUCACCUCACCAACCAAAACGCAUCUUAAUACCAGGUGGUAACAGGGUCUAAGGCCUCUAAAUGAUCAACAUGAUCAAAACUUGAAAAAACUGAACUGAAAAACCUGUUGUACACAAUCUACUACAUGCCUUCUGUUGUCUGAUUGAUACUUUUUUAGCAAGUAAAAGGCCUUUUAGUAUAUUUGUAAAAGCAUCCCCCUUCAGGUUGUGGGUCACAUGUCUUUUUGCUGAGAAAGCUACUGAUUUUUGUAAAGUAAACAUGAGAAUACUAUCUUACUCAUACUAUCUUACCCAAUACUCAUACUAUCUUACCCAUGUGGAGCGUCAAAGAAGACUAGAAAGCCUGUCUGUAUUGUGGGGGAGAUGGCCAUAUAAUUACCAACUGCCCAGUCCGACUACCAUGCCCAGCGCGCAAGCCCUCAUCGAUUCUGGUUCCGUGGGGAACUUCAUCUCCCACCAAUUACUUCAGAAACUCAACCUCAAGAGGAAACGGAGCUCCCAGGAAUUUAUUGUACAUACCAUCAUUGGAAAACCACCAGGUCGCAUUUGAAGCCUCCAUGAAGAAUGGAUUAUGUUCAUGGUGCUGGAAGUUUCUACCGCUGACAUCAUCCUAGGAUGCCUGUGGAUGUCUCAACAGAAUCCCAACAUCAUCUGGAAUUCUGGUGAGAUCCUUCAGUGGGGGGUGAUUCCUGUUUUCAAGACUGCCUGCUUCAUGUCUCAUUGACCUGCUGCCUGGGGCCAAAUUACCCAAGGGUCGGAUUUCCACUGUCCAUCCCGAACCAAAAGGCCAUGGAGGAGUAUAUUGAGGAAGCUCUUCAACAACAGUUCAUCCGACCACCUACGUCCUCUGCCGCUUCCAGCGUUUUCUUUGAACAGCAAGAAGGACAGAGGCUUGUGGCCAUGCAUCGACUACCGCAUCCUCAACAAACAAACAGUGAAGUGUUGUUAUCCCCUUCCUCUGGUACCUGCCACCUUAGAACAACUGCGUAGAGCCUGCAUCUUUUCCAAACUGGACCUGCGGAGUGCGUACAACCUCAUUUGAAUACAUGAUAGUGAUGAAUGGAAGACCUCCUUCGUAACACCCUCAGGCCACUACGAAUAUCUGGUGAUGCCAUGUGGACUGUCCACCCCCUCGUAUUUCAGGGGUACAGGAAUGAGGUUUUCCGUGAGUUCCUCCACCAGUUCGUCAUCGUCUACAUCAACGACAUUCUCAUCUACUACCGGAACCAGGCCAAACAUCGCUAACACUUCAGGUCCUUCAGAAGCUGAGAGAUCACCAUCUUUACCUCAAGCAUGAAAAAUGCAAGUUCCACAAACCCUCCACUCACUUCGAUAUGUCAUCGACCAGAAUGAUAUCGAGAUGGACCGGAGGAAGGUGGAGAACAUCUGUGACCGGCCCUUACCAUCCACAGUUAAGGAGUUACAACACUUCCUUGGAUUUGCGAACUUCUACCGAAGCUUCAUCAACAAUUACAGUCUCAUCAGUUCUCCACCCACAUCUCAACUCAAAGAUUGGCCCAAGUCUCUGUCCUGGAACCAGUCAGUCACACAAGCCUUCCAUCGUCUCAAAGAAGCUUUCCUCACAGCUCCUGUUCCGGUUCAUCCUAACCGAGAUCUUCCAUUCAUUGUUGAAGUGGAUGCCCCCACUACUGGGGUAGGAGCUGUGUUCUCUCAGCAGCAGGGUGACCCUCAACGACUCCAUCCAUGUGCCUUCUUUUCCAAAAAGCUGUCCCUGGCAGAGCAAAAUUAUGAUAUCGGCAACUGAGAGCUUUUGGCGAUCAAGCUAUUGAAGCUAUUGAAGAGUGGAGACACUGGCUGGAGGAAGCCAAUCAUCAGUUUGAAGUUAUCAUAGAUCAUUGAAACAUUGAAUAUCUCUGCGAUGCAAAGAGACUUAACCUUCGACAAGCCCGAUGGGCACUUUUCUUCACCAGAUUCAAUUUCAUUAUCACUUAUCGUCCUGGUCACAAGAACUGUAAAGCGGAUACUCUUUCUCGGUUAUACAAUCCAGAAACCCAACUCUUCUCCUCCUGAAUCCAUCCUCCCUCCAGCCAUUAUUGUAAGUUCCAUCAUAUGGGUUCUUGACAACCAAAUUGACCAAGCCACUCACUCUGAACCUGCUCCGCCGGGAGGGCCUGAGGGACGAAUAUAUGUUCCUUCUUCCCUUUGUCCAUCCCUCAUGGACUCAGUGAACACCUCUCUGGGCUUUGGACACCCAGGCAGCCAGCGAACCCUAUUGCUUCUUCAAAAUUGUUACUGGUGGCCCACCAUGACCCAGGAUAUCUCCCGAUACAUGAGGGUAGCUCAGUCUGUGCCACCAUCAACACUCCUCGAAGGUUCCCGGAGGGAAAGCUGGUCCCACUGCCAAUACCUCAAAGACCCUGGUCUCAUGUAGGAAUCAACUUCAUGACGGUUCUACCUUCUUCCAACUCUAACACCUGUGUAUUCGUAGUAGUUGUAGUGUUUUCUCCAAAGCCUGCAAACUAAUGCCCCUGUAAGGCCUGCACACAGCACUGGAGGCCACUGAACUGCUGUUCCAGCAUGUAUUUAAUCAUUUUGGACUCCCGGAGGACAUUGUGUCAGAGAGAGGCCCUUAGUUCAUCUCCUGAGUUUGGCAGGCUUUCAAGUUAUUGGGUGUCUCCGUAAGCCUUUCGUCAGGAUACCAUCCGCAAACUAACGGCCAGACUGAGCGUAAGAUCCAGGAGAUCGGGAGAUACCUGCGGUCCUACUGCCACCAACACCAACAGCUGGAGCCAUUUCCUCCCCCAGGCUGAGUAUGAUGUGACAGCCCACCAUGUGGUUUAACACCCUUCCAAUGCAUGUUCUGUUACCAGCCACCUCUGUAUCAUCACAGGAUUAUCUGCCAUUCUGCCAAUCUGCAGAAUCACUCAGCUCCACUCAUCUGUUCACAAUCACCUGAUUACUGACUUACUGCACCUGCACCCAAUCACCAGCACUCCCUUUAUAAGCAGUCACUAUCCACACUUCAGUUGUCUGGUCUUGUCGUUUUUCAUCCAACAUUCACAGACUACCCACCUGUUGGACUCACCUAAGAUACCAGCCUGUCUUCUUCGUCUCCUGUCAUCCAUCUUCUGUCAUCCAGUUCCAGCCACCUGCAAAUCUUCUUGUCUUGUCUCCAUCUGUUUCAUGACACAAACUUCUAGAAAAUCCAAGUAUUUUGAUAUUUUGUGCCAGAGUCAGAUUCUGAGGUAGUGCAAAUAUUAUGGUAAUGAACAAAAGGUUAACAGUAAAGUGCAUAAAAUAGCAUAAACAAUAGUGCUGUAGCGAUUGAGAUGGUUACAGAGUCAGUUCUAGCAUACUGUGUGAGCUCAAGAGUGGUGUUUUGAUUCUAAAAUAAUUAUGUGAUUAUAAUGAUUCUAUAAUAAACCUCAUUAGCAUAGAAAAAGGGCAAAUUUCCACCGAUAACAUAAACAUAUAUUGUGCAGUGGUCCUAUAAGGUUAUGGUUAAGUUAAACUGCAGGCAGAUAGUGAAUAAGACACAUCAUCAAACUAUGACAAACAACUUAAUAAAGCAACAUUCAACAGGAUCUUUACUCAACCCUGGUCAAAGCAGAGUCCUGUUUGAUUAGCCUUCCCAUGAGCCCCUGCUUAAACCAGCCAGAGGAGUCCACACAUUGGAAGCAAAACAAGACUCAAAACACAAAGCACAUUCACGGAUGAUCUGCAUGUAUUUGGUGCAUUUGACUGGAAGAAAAAGUAUACAGUCUGGCCAGCUGGAUCUGUUUUUCCUGCAAGGAAGCUCAGUAUUAUCUGUUAUCAUCAGUUAGGACUUUAUGAAUCAUUUGCAAAAUAUGAAACUGGGUGUUGCUUUAUAGCUUUGAGUAUAUAUUGAACUGUAGCUCAUCAUCAGAAUCAUUGCUGACACUUCGCACAUGUAACAGAUGGUCUGUUGGACAUUUAUGGGAGGAUCCUCUGGAGGGACUAUCCAAAUAAAAUGCUUCCACAUCCCA